rnacentral:rRNA from 1 species
UACGUAGGGGGCAAGCGUUGUCCGGAUUUAUUGGGCGUAAAGAGCGUGUAGGCGGCCAAACAGGUCAGCUGUGAAAACUCGAGGCUCAACCUCGAGACGUCGGUUGAAACCGUUUGGCUAGAGUCCGGAAGAGGAGAGUGGAAUUCCCGGUGUAGCGGUGAAAUGCGUAGAUAUCGGAAGGAACACCUGUGGCGAAAGCGGCUCACUGGACCAUAACUGACGCUGAGGCACGAAAGCUAGGGGAGCAAACAGG